rnacentral:lncRNA from 1 species
CUCUGUGCACCGAGGGCAUCCUGAGCCUUUGGACCUUCACUUGGGCAUGUUCCUACCCACCUUGCUUCACCAGGCCACCGCAGAGCAGCAGGAGCGCUUCUUCAUGCCGGCCUGGAAUUUGGAGAUCACGGGCACUUAUGCGCAGACAGAGAUGGGUCAUGGAACUCAUCUUCGAGGCUUGGAAACCACUGCCACAUAUGACCCCAAGACCCAAGAGUUCAUUCUCAACAGCCCUACUGUGACUUCCAUUAAGUGGUGGCCUGGGGGACUUGGGA